CAAUAUCUAACUCUAGUUUAAUUGCAUUUUAUAGGAAUUUAAAAAAACGCUUUUGCAAGGCCACAAUGCAGAUGAUAUAAAAUUUGAGAAAAAUGCAGUUACGAUAUUAUUCAGCAAUGCAGAACAAGCAGAAACUGCAAUUAAAGCUCUUAACAACAGAAUAUUCAAUGGUCAUGCCAUCAAGGCUGAAUUUGUCCAACCAGAUAGUUUGCUAUUUGUUGGAAAUCUACCAUUUGACUUUAGCGAAGAACAAUUUGAGGUACUUAUGAAGCAGUAUGGUUCAAUUGAGAGGAUAUUUCUUGUGAGAAGUGAAGUCACUGGUGAAAGCAAGGGAUAUGGUUUUGUAGAAUAUUCCAACAAAGAGUUGGCAGCACAGGCAAAGCAGAGUUUAAUGAAUACGGGAUCAAAGUAUAUUGGUGGUCGUAUAUUGAGAGUUGACUUUGCAGAGCCUAAUCUAACUACCUGUACAUAUGAGGGCUUGCAUUCCAAGACUCUUUUUAUCGAUAAACUUCCAAGAGAUUUCACUAAUGGAGAAGUACUCCAAGAAAUAUUUAGCAGAACAGGGACUGUAACUUUUGCUCAGGUUGCAGUGAAUCACCAAACAGGGGCAUCAAGAGGGUUUGCUUUUGUGGACUAUGCGACUAGUAUUGAUGCUGAGAGAGGACUAAAAGCUCACAAUGGAGCUCAAAUAGAAGGAUCUAAUAUACGAGUUGCUUAUGGCACUCCUGGAAGGACAGGAGCUAGUAUUCUAGGUCUUCAACCCACAAACAAUGUUUCACAGGUUGUGAAUCAAAUACCUUUAAUACAAGCUGGACCAGCUGACAUUAGAGCAAUGGUACCUCAGUGGUCAGCUCAACCCAUGCCACCAUCAAUGCCACACCCAUUAAUGGCAAGACCUCUGAUGGUCCACAGUCCACAUAUUCAGAAUAUUGAAGUAAGAGGACCUGCAGCUAGGUUUCCAGUACCUUUGAUUUCACAAAGGUCUCCAGCACAGCAGGUGUGCAGUCAAAGAGCAGAAAUGAUUGUAAGGCCAUUGAUAAGAGAAGCUGGUGCAAGAAUGGGAAGUCCACCCCAAAGACCUCUUAUAGGAGGUCAUCUAGUCAGAGGACCACGCCCACUUAUGGCUGACAUCCCACUUAGAGGACCAGGUCCAAGGCAAGGAGGACCAAGGGGGUUUUGUCCUAGAGGAAUGGCUGCCACUGCUGAUCCAAGAUGUGCUGUCUUUAGAAAUGGUCCAGCAAGACCAUUAAUGGACUCGAAUAGCAAUGGCAAUGUUUUUGCACAACAACCCCCUGAGGAGAGAGUAGCAAACCAGGCAUUUGUACCCCAAAUGGAACAGCCACAGCCAGGAAGCAUGGGUAUACGACCAGUUAACCAAUCACAACCUCAACGACAACAACUCCAAGCACUAAUGCAGUCCCAGGUACAACCACAACCACUAAUACAACAACAGCAGCAACAGUGGCUAAUGUCACCACAAAAUAACCCACAGCAGUCCCAGCAGAUGCAGCAAGCACCUCCACAGCCAUUGCUACAAGAUUUCAGACCUGCAGAAGCUCAGGGACCACCAGUUAUAGCCCCACAACCUUUACUUGGACAACCAAUUGGAGGCCCCAGUGGACAGAUGGAUAGACCUGUAGUUCAUGGUGUGGAAGCUAGUUUUGAUAGACAUGGUCAGGGUCAGCAGGCAGCACCACCUGGACCAAUGGGUUUAGUGGGACCAGGGAAUGGUCAAUGGUCUGAGCACCAGAUGUCUAAACCAGGUAGUGGACCAGUACCACAACAAGGUCUUCACCAGUCUCCAGCUAAAACAUUCAUACCCCAACCAGUGCCAGAACAAAUGCUGCCAGGUUUUCCAGCUGGAUCAACUUCUUUGACUGCAGUAACAAAUCAGAAUCAAUCAGGUGGAUGGCAAACAUCACAAGUCACCAAUGGCACCCAAAGUAUUCCUUCCCAAACACCAGGUGGUCAAGCAGUUCCACUUCAGUAUGGUCUCCCCCCUUCACAACCAAUGGCACCUCCUCAGCCUUUAAUGCAACAACUUGACCAAACACAACCCCAUUUAACAUCACCUCAGUUAUCUGUUGCCCAAGGACAAGCUGUUGGACCAACUCAACAGGACCCUAAUAUUCAGUAUCAUAAUUAUGGCUUCCAGCAACAGGGUCCUUUAGUAGAACAAGUUGGAAUGCCAUUCACGGCUGAUCAUGUACAACCACCACCACCACCGCAACAACAACAACCAGUAGGACAUGCACCUCAAUCACAGGAAAUUCCACAGGUUGUACAGCUAAUGCAAAAACCAAUUCAACAACCUUUCCACCAUCAUCAGCUGCCAGGCUAUCCUAAUCAACAGGGACAAGUGGUUCAGCCUUCACAACAAAUGUUCCAACAGGGUCCCAUGGUAGCAGCUGCAGAGACAAAAUGGGUGCAAACUGCAGCGAAUGUACUACAGCCAACACCCAUGAUGUCUUUGCAAGGUUUCCAAGUACCUUCAGGAGAACAGGAACAACAAAUCUGUGAUACCUCAGCACAGCAAUGGAGACCAGUUCAGCAACCCACAAUACAAUCACAACCUGGUCCUGGUCCUGGUCCUGGCCAGCUUCAACAGGAACAACACCAAAUGUUCAAUCCAACACAACAGUUCCGCACACUUGAUCACAGCUAUCAACAGCAGCAGCUUCAAAUGCCUUCAAAUACAUCAACUCCUUCACCAAUACCACAACAUUCAGCUGCGCCAGUUAUGUACAGUACUCAGGCAUCUUCAAAUGAUCCCAACCAGCAUGGUCAGAAGAGAGCUAAUCCUGAUCAACAGCUAACUGAUCAGUCAUAUCUGAAUCAACCUCAACCAUUGAUGCAAGGAAUGGGAGAAUUCUAUGAAGCCAACAAGCGUCCUAGAUUUUGAACUUCAAGUCUAGUCCAUCCAGUUGUUAAUGCAGGAAACUUUAUCCAUGAGGUCAGUACCAGCUCAUUAACAAAAGUCUGCUUCUUUACAAGUGAACUUGGUAUUGGCAUUGCACAUGCAGAACUAAAAGCAAAAGGAUUGUGAUCACCAAGGGUUACAGCGAUUAUGGAAGAUCGGGUGUGUGCAUGUGUUAUCCCAAUUUCAGAUCAAAUCAUUUGUAGCAGUUGCAANAAAAGGUUGUCAGAGCACAAAAGCACAGUACUUUUCGGUGUUAUUGUAAUGCAAUCUUGGUCUGCACUUCCUCAAUUGGUGCCUUUGUUCCGAGAACCUUUUGUGAAAUACGUGAUGCGUACAAUUUUUUGGGUUUUAACCCCUAAGUUAAAAUCUUUCUUUCAAGGUAAGUGAUAUAGUUAAUUUGAAAUUCAGUUGGGGUUGGCUAAGUUUGUUCGCAGAGACAGGACAUGAUGCAAACCCAGGGGAUAAAAGAUUUUUUAUGCAUGUCACACGUCAUCAAUGGCGCUUGGCCACAUUAGCCAAGGUUGUUACAUGGACAAAUCGUUGGACGUCAGCUCACACCGUCUUUUUUGCAUUAUUAAGAGAUCUGCCUUGUCCAACUUUACCAGCGAUGAUGUUGAUGGCUUUUAUGAUCUUGUUAACCAAUGUCAAGGCACCAUUCCUUUAUUAUCUAGGAGGGGGAGGGGACGGUGCGAUUGUACGAAAAAUCUAACCAUCCCUCUGUUGUUACGUAGAAAAUGACAUGCUCGUUUUCUAACCUGUUUCUUGUAAAAGUGCUGUGGGAUUUGAAUAUUUUUCACUUUUCUUGAUCCGGAUUUUUCGAAUAACCCCCUCCCCGAUAAAAUAUAUGAACGGUCUCUAAUGAGCUGAGAUCAAGAUUCAGUGCUGAGAUCAUUUCAGUGCUUAAUCACUUGAACACAAUUAUUCAAGGUUAUUGAUAAGGUAAGACCGCUGCCAUAGCAAAUAAGACUAUGUCACAAUCAGUAUUUUUAACGUAAUAAAUGCGGCGUGCGCUGCUAGUAUUGGCAGCGGAAGGACAUCCGUCACUUUGCGACGUUUUCAAUAUGAAACCUAUGUUUUAAGCACCAAGAAAAAUGUUAUACACGCUUGCCCCGUCGAUUAAUGCUGAUUUCCACAAGGGACGUGGAAACCUGUGAAAGCCUUAGACGCCAGCAAAGGAGGCUACUCGAUCCCGAUGGUCAUAAUGUUUGGCUCCUUUGAUUUAACCGAACCCAAAUAUGGCCGCCACUCAUUUAUCAUAAUUUUGUCAAUCGUAUUUGAAUUAAUCACCGAAAUCAAACCUUAGAAAAUUUAAAAAGUUAAAAAAAUUCGAGGUAAAAAUAUAUCAAAUUAUUGAAAAGUCAAGAGAAUUUCAAAAUGUAAAAAAUACGAGAAAGGCGAGGCUAGCCAGUAAUUAUUUCAAUGGCGGCCGAUAUUCGCUGUUGGGCAUAGUAUAGCGCCGUCCCAAUCCCUGCACGGUACUUUUGUCUUUAACAAAAUUUACAAAGCUGAGGAAUUUGCAGUUGUAUUGAUGGUUGGUUUGCUUUUUCUGUCUUUGUGUCCUUUUUUGCGUUAUUGGUUUGUUAAUUAGUUUGGUCAUUGUUUGGGUUGGUUGUUUUUCGGUUUGUUUGUCAGUCAUAAUGUCCGUACGCCCGGUUGGCCGUGGUCGGUCGGUCUUGCUUGCUUUCUUUUUUUCAGUCCGGUACGGUGAUGCAAGUGAUUGAUGCCCGAAAUAUUUACCCUGGUGCUGCGUAGAAGUAGAAAGAAGUAGAAAAUAUACUCCAACGAUGAAAGAGGUACAUGCCAGUACUUUGUAUUCAAUGUAUUAUUUACCUUUUCUUCUUCCAUUCGGUAACGUAAUAAUUAAUAAAUUUGUUUAACGGAAGGCUGGU
rnacentral:misc_RNA from 1 species